rnacentral:rRNA from 1 species
UUCCGGUUGAUCCUGCCAGAGGUCACUGCUAUCGGUGUCCGAUUAAGCCAUGCGAGUCGAGAGGUGUAAGACCUCGGCAGACUGCUCAGUAACACGUGGAUAACCUGCCCAAGGGUCCGGGAUAACCCCGGGAAACUGGGGAUAAUACCGGAUGGGUCACCAGUGCUGGAAUGCUUGGUGGUCGAAAGGUGACGCCUUUGGAUGGGUCUGCGGCGGAUUAGGUUGACGCCGGUGUAACGUACCGGCGUGCCUGUAAUCCGUACGGGUUGUGGGAGCAAGAGCCCGGAGAUGGAUUCUGAGACACGAAUCCAGGCCCUACGGGGCGCAGCAGGCGCGAAAACUCUACAAUGCAGGCAACUGCGAUAGGGGGACAUCGAGUGGCAUCCACCUUGGGUGUCUGUCCAACCGUCUAAAAAACGGUUGUUAGCAAGGGCCGGGCAAGACCGGUGCCAGCCGCCGCGGUAAUACCGGCGGCUCGAGUGGUGGCCGAUAUUAUUGAGUCUAAAGGGUCCGUAGCCGGCUUUGCAAGUCCCCUGGGAAAUCCGGCGGCUUAACCGUUGGGCUUUCAUGGGAUACUACAUUGCUUGGGACUGGGAGAGGUAGGAGGUACUCGGGGGGUAGGGGUGAAAUCCUGUAAUCCUCCGGGGACCACUGGUGGCGAAGGCGUCCUACCAGAACAGGUCCGACGGUGAGGGACGAAAGCUAGGGGCACGAACCGGAUUAGAUACCCGGGUAGUCCUAGCCGUAAACGAUGCCCGCUAGGUGUCACGACGGUCGUGAAUCGUCGUGGUGCCGUAGGGAAGCCGCGAAGCGGGCCACUUGGGAAGUACGGCCGCAAGGCUGAAACUUAAAGGAAUUGGCGGGA